GGUUAAGCGACUAAGCGUACACGGUGGAUGCCCUGGCAGUCAGAGGCGAUGAAGGACGUGCUAAUCUGCGAUAAGCGUCGGUAAGGUGAUAUGAACCGUUAUAACCGGCGAUUUCCGAAUGGGGAAACCCAGUGUGAUUCGUCACACUAUCAUUAACUGAAUCCAUAGGUUAAUGAGGCGAACCGGGGGAACUGAAACAUCUAAGUACCCCGAGGAAAAGAAAUCAACCGAGAUUCCCCCAGUAGCGGCGAGCGAACGGGGAGCAGCCCAGAGCCUGAAUCAGUGUGUGUGUUAGUGGAAGCGUCUGGAAAGGCGCGCGAUACAGGGUGACAGCCCCGUACACAAAAAUGCACAUACUGUGAGCUCGAUGAGUAGGGCGGGACACGUGGUAUCCUGUCUGAAUAUGGGGGGACCAUCCUCCAAGGCUAAAUACUCCUGACUGACCGAUAGUGAACCAGUACCGUGAGGGAAAGGCGAAAAGAACCCCGGCGAGGGGAGUGAAAAAGAACCUGAAACCGUGUACGUACAAGCAGUGGGAGCACGCUUCGGCGUGUGACUGCGUACCUUUUGUAUAAUGGGUCAGCGACUUAUAUUCUGUAGCAAGGUUAACCGAAUAGGGGAGCCGAAGGGAAACCGAGUCUUAACUGGGCGUUAAGUUGCAGGGUAUAGACCCGAAACCCGGUGAUCUAGCCAUGGGCAGGUUGAAGGUUGGGUAACACUAACUGGAGGACCGAACCGACUAAUGUUGAAAAAUUAGCGGAUGACUUGUGGCUGGGGGUGAAAGGCCAAUCAAACCGGGAGAUAGCUGGUUCUCCCCGAAAGCUAUUUAGGUAGCGCCUCGUGAAUUCAUCUCCGGGGGUAGAGCACUGUUUCGGCAAGGGGGUCAUCCCGACUUACCAACCCGAUGCAAACUGCGAAUACCGGAGAAUGUUAUCACGGGAGACACACGGCGGGUGCUAACGUCCGUCGUGAAGAGGGAAACAACCCAGACCGCCAGCUAAGGUCCCAAAGUCAUGGUUAAGUGGGAAACGAUGUGGGAAGGCCCAGACAGCCAGGAUGUUGGCUUAGAAGCAGCCAUCAUUUAAAGAAAGCGUAAUAGCUCACUGGUCGAGUCGGCCUGCGCGGAAGAUGUAACGGGGCUAAACCAUGCACCGAAGCUGCGGCAGCGACACUAUGUGUUGUUGGGUAGGGGAGCGUUCUGUAAGCCUGCGAAGGUGUACUGUGAGGUAUGCUGGAGGUAUCAGAAGUGCGAAUGCUGACAUAAGUAACGAUAAAGCGGGUGAAAAGCCCGCUCGCCGGAAGACCAAGGGUUCCUGUCCAACGUUAAUCGGGGCAGGGUGAGUCGACCCCUAAGGCGAGGCCGAAAGGCGUAGUCGAUGGGAAACAGGUUAAUAUUCCUGUACUUGGUGUUACUGCGAAGGGGGGACGGAGAAGGCUAUGUUGGCCGGGCGACGGUUGUCCCGGUUUAAGCGUGUAGGCUGGUUUUCCAGGCAAAUCCGGAAAAUCAAGGCUGAGGCGUGAUGACGAGGCACUACGGUGCUGAAGCAACAAAUGCCCUGCUUCCAGGAAAAGCCUCUAAGCAUCAGGUAACAUCAAAUCGUACCCCAAACCGACACAGGUGGUCAGGUAGAGAAUACCAAGGCGCUUGAGAGAACUCGGGUGAAGGAACUAGGCAAAAUGGUGCCGUAACUUCGGGAGAAGGCACGCUGAUAUGUAGGUGAAGUCCCUCGCGGAUGGAGCUGAAAUCAGUCGAAGAUACCAGCUGGCUGCAACUGUUUAUUAAAAACACAGCACUGUGCAAACACGAAAGUGGACGUAUACGGUGUGACGCCUGCCCGGUGCCGGAAGGUUAAUUGAUGGGGUUAGCGGUAACGCGAAGCUCUUGAUCGAAGCCCCGGUAAACGGCGGCCGUAACUAUAACGGUCCUAAGGUAGCGAAAUUCCUUGUCGGGUAAGUUCCGACCUGCACGAAUGGCGUAAUGAUGGCCAGGCUGUCUCCACCCGAGACUCAGUGAAAUUGAACUCGCUGUGAAGAUGCAGUGUACCCGCGGCAAGACGGAAAGACCCCGUGAACCUUUACUAUAGCUUGACACUGAACAUUGAGCCUUGAUGUGUAGGAUAGGUGGGAGGCUUUGAAGUGUGGACGCCAGUCUGCAUGGAGCCGACCUUGAAAUACCACCCUUUAAUGUUUGAUGUUCUAACGUUGGCCCCUGAUCGGGGUUGCGGACAGUGUCUGGUGGGUAGUUUGACUGGGGCGGUCUCCUCCUAAAGAGUAACGGAGGAGCACGAAGGUUGGCUAAUCCUGGUCGGACAUCAGGAGGUUAGUGCAAUGGCAUAAGCCAGCUUGACUGCGAGCGUGACGGCGCGAGCAGGUGCGAAAGCAGGUCAUAGUGAUCCGGUGGUUCUGAAUGGAAGGGCCAUCGCUCAACGGAUAAAAGGUACUCCGGGGAUAACAGGCUGAUACCGCCCAAGAGUUCAUAUCGACGGCGGUGUUUGGCACCUCGAUGUCGGCUCAUCACAUCCUGGGGCUGAAGUAGGUCCCAAGGGUAUGGCUGUUCGCCAUUUAAAGUGGUACGCGAGCUGGGUUUAGAACGUCGUGAGACAGUUCGGUCCCUAUCUGCCGUGGGCGCUGGAGAACUGAGGGGGGCUGCUCCUAGUACGAGAGGACCGGAGUGGACGCAUCACUGGUGUUCGGGUUGUCAUGCCAAUGGCACUGCCCGGUAGCUAAAUGCGGAAGAGAUAAGUGCUGAAAGCAUCUAAGCACGAAACUUGCCCCGAGAUGAGUUCUCCCUGACUCCCUGAGAGUCCUGAAGGAACGUUGAAGACGACGACGUUGAUAGGCCGGGUGUGUAAGCGCAGCGAUGCGUUGAGCUAACCGGUACUAAUGAACCGUGAGGCUUAACCUU
rnacentral:rRNA from 1 species